GGGGUUGUGACUCAGUGGCAGAGUGCUUGCCUAGCACGCAUGAGGAAAUGGGUUCGAUUCUCAGCAUCCCA
rfam:Ictidomys tridecemlineatus contig055785, whole genome shotgun sequence.